rnacentral:rRNA from 1 species
AUUGAACGCUGGCGGCAUGCCUUACACAUGCAAGUCGAACGGUAACAGGUUAAGCUGCCGAGUGGCGAACGGGUGAGUAAUGUAUCGGAACGUGCCCAGUCGUGGGGGAUAACUGCUCGAAAGAGCAGCUAAUACCGCAUACGACCUGAGGGUGAAAGCGGGGGAUCGCAAGUCCUCGCGCGAUUGGAGCGGCCGAUAUCAGAUUAGGUAGUUGGUGAGGUAAAGGCUCACCAAGCCGACGAUCUGUAGCUGGUCUGAGAGGACGACCAGCCACACUGGGACUGAGACACGGCCCAGACUCCUACGGGAGGCAGCAGUGGGGAAUUUUGGACAAUGGGCGCAAGCCUGAUCCAGCCAUGCCGCGUGCGGGAAGAAGGCCUUCGGGUUGUAAACCGCUUUUGUCAGGGAAGAAAAGGUUCUGGCUAAUACCUGGGACUCAUGACGGUACCUGAAGAAUAAGCACCGGCUAACUACGUG